CUCGCUUCUGUCGAACAAAAAUGUGCCUUUUGAAAGUUGUUUACAUACAUCAGGAAUUCAUCUAUAAGGAAAUACCGAAGGAGAAUAACCGUUAUGUAAUUGGUAAGUGGAAAAAGAACAUGCAAUUGCACCCCAAAGUGAUCGUACAUGGAUAGACAAGUUCGACGUGAGUUUGUCCAGGUUAUAACGGAAGAUAGAAGAAUGGUGCUUGGUGGGUAGAUAGGAUGGAGACUACUUUCUUACGCAAGAGGACGCAGUGCGUUACCUCGAGUUACGUUCACCGGUGCGUGCAGGACACGAGAUAUUAUCAGCCACUGAGCCAACCCGGACUUCUCUGCCGGACCACCCACUUACAAAAUAAUAAACACGAUAUCAUCGAUUCAAAACUCAACUGGACAAGAUGGCACGCACAAUUUUCGAUUUUUAAUAUCUGCAACGAUCAAGACAACGAUUCAACCAUGGUAUACUCAUCGAGAAUGAAGUUUAAUAAGUUUGCUUAUGGGAUCGUUAAGGUCCUGCCAUAGAUGGAUGACUAAUGCAAAGUCUGCCUUUACACGACUGACCUAUCUUGGCUAUAACAAGACCAGUCGUUAUUCGCAGUGACUGUGCUUAAGAUCAUUUUAUACUUAUCUAUAUCUGGGACUGCUACUGGAAGUCUGCCAUGAUAUUUGAUCUACGAUUUGAUCCAGCAUAUCUCGAAGAGCGUCACCACUCAUGUCUACCGAUCCUGCGGCUGCUACGCGAAAUAAGAACGAUCCGACCAUCGACUUCCGCUCUUCUUUCUUUUCCUCUCGCAGAGCCGCUAACUAAGUGCCAUUAUUUUCGUUGACUCGGCAGAUUUUUUAUCCGACUUCUGCAUCGCUCAACCCUUCCGAUAUGGACCUUUAAUUUGCGCCUCUUUCACUGUCUAUAUUAUGAGUGACAAUAAUUCUUAUUAUCAAUGAAAUGUUUUAGUAUCAGGCUUCGUUAGUUUGACUAUUGUAUUAAGCGAUGAUAGACUGACCAAAAUAUGUGGAAAAAUCAGGUUAACCGUCUACGUUAAUCGCGAGCCAUAUGAUACUUCUCUAUCAAUUGUUUUUACUUUUUGUAGAAUCCUUUCGCGUUCUUAUUGCGUUUAGUCGAUGCACGCGCAUCUUAUGCUAUUUUCUCUAGUACCUUUAGAAUGUCUCGCGUAGUAAAAGUACAAAUUGCACUUACCUGGAUCUGCGCUCUUCUAGAUACUUACAUCUAUAAUUAUCGGUUAGAUUGUUUUUAAUACGGUUGGUCGUUAUGGCGGCAUUUCUAUAGAUCAUUAAUUCUAAAACAGUCUCAACGCUCUGCCGGCUCACGUAAGAGAUCCAACUUACUAAUUGCGGCGACGCCGGUGGUCCAAGCUAUAAUGAAAAGCAAUAUGGUCAGCCAGUAAUGGCUGCCCGAUAGGUUUCUCCAAAUCGGAAUCAUAAUUCUUUCGCAGACCCGAUUUAGGACACGAACCAGCGUCUCAUAUUUACUCACGUACAGCACAACCGCAAUUCGACGAUCGUUCGUCAUCUCAUUAUCAUUGUGUUCCUUCGUAUUCCGAAUAGUCAUUUCUUUAUAUCGAAAUACCACAACAAUCGGCCAACAUUAUUCUUUUAUUAUGAAGUCUCUUAAAAGAAUUCAUUGAAAUCGCUGAUGCACGAAACUCAGUGAAACAGAUAAUUCCAUUUUCAUGGAAUUGUGGUUUCCGUGGAGAGGAAAAAAAUUCAAGUCAUUGCUGAUUCCAAUCUAGUGACGGUCUCUUAAAGAAACUCAAUUUUUUUUCUCCGCACGCCCAAAGCCAUAAAAUAAUUUUGAAAAUUUUCCAGAAAAAUUCCGCCUUUGUCGGCCCUGACAGCUCAAAGGAAAGAGGGACAACUUUAUACGCAUUUCCGAUUUCCUGUCAAGGAUCAUAACGAGCCGGCACGCUGCUUCUUUGCUUCCGCCCAUUUUGAAAAAUGUCUCACCCCAACAACGACUCAUUGUAAAGGAAUUACACCGUGACGAGGAAAUACCCAAUAGAAAGAAAAAAGAAGAUGGCUGUCAGUGCAUUUGUAUAUGAAAAGAAUUUCUAUGGAGCGCGUGAAUAAGUUACUCAAAUCUGUAACGUCCUCAAGAGCUAGAAUGUUGGAAAGUAAACGUUCUCAAGAUGUCACACAGAAAGACGCUUAACAGCUUGUGGUCGGACGUACAUACGUAUCUAUCCAUCCGGUAUAAAUAGAGAGAAGAAGUCACCUUUGUCCGACGGGACCACCCAAGUAUCUGACGCCUCGACUGUCCGCCUUUGAAUUGACUUAGCAGAAUUCGAGUCCGCAACCGUGUCUUAACCCGCCCCGAACUUGGUACCUGUCUGCCUUAUUUCCUCAUCCAUUGUCCAGAACUGGUACCUCAACUCCCGUGACAGAUAAUACUGUCAAAAGCGACAAUCCUCUGGUCUUUGCCCAACUCUCAGUAAACUGGAAACUUAACCAAGGAAAUUACGAGCGAGCAAAAUCACCAUUAAAUCAGACCUCCUGCUACCAUCCAGUCCAUUAUAUUACCCAUGUUUCCUCCAUCCUAAGUAGUUAACAAAGUGCACCAUAAAAUAAUCCAAAGGAGAUCCGUUCCUCAGCUACCAUAAAAUACAUCCCUAAUAAACUAACCAAAUUACGCAAAAUAAUUACUCAAACAUCCCCGGUUCAAUUCAACAGGAAAGGACUCAGCGCUACUUCAUGGUCUCAUUAGGAUCCUUCAGGAAAAGAUAGAAUAAAGCCAUGUCUGGUUCAGAUGCACAUGGACACGUAGUGCUUGAACUCAUUGAUCAUCAAGAGCCAAGGUCGUGUACUUUGAUAGCAUGUAAGAGCAUUAUAAAAAUCGGAAGUCGCUCAUACGACGACUGCUCUACUUCUGCUGCGACCUAGAAAUACGUAUGACUGAUACGUCUUUCAAAAAAUAUUUGGAUACCGGAUCUUAGACUUUGUAUAUCGGCUGUGGGAUACUGAUAUCUCUACAUUAUGCGUAUAAGUAUACGUAAUGGUGUACGAAAGGUAUGCGUGAAUGCCCCAGCACUGACCAACUUCCGCGGUGACUAGUUGGGUGGUCCAAUCGAACCUGCAAGCUGCGAGUUCUCGUGCAGACACAUAGAGAAGUGUGUAUGCAGAGACGUAUACACUGAGAUGUGAUUAUCUAAACGACUGAUAGUGUUUAACAUACGAAAGCGCCUAAACUGGCGACAGUAUAAUCUUGAGAUAUAGGAGAUCGUUGUACUCGUUCGGGCAGAACGUGUUGCGCAGACUUUCAAAACGAGUCUAGGUCUGCUGGAGUUAUAAAGAUUCCGAGAUGCUGCAAAGUUAUGACGGUACAUCCAAUUGAUACUGGAAUUGAUGUACGUAUGGAAGAGUUUCAUCUGAAUUGAAGAAUCUCGAUACACGGAUAGGCGUGUCCGGUGUCAGUCUGUCUAUCUUCCCAAGAGUCCAGUCGAUCCAUCCGUCUGGUCAAAACGUUCCAAUUAUUAAUUUACUUCGCUCACAAAGUAACCCACGUGCACCUGUAACAUGUUAUUCGUCGGAGGUAAUGAUGCCACACGCAACUGCCCCGUCGCCCAGGGCACUGGAUGCACGUUAUUACAUUAAACAUAAAAGAUCCAAAGGAAAGUCAUUGGGGGAACGAUCGGAUUGGAUGCUGCGCUUCUAUCCUCAGAAUUCUCUGUCACGUAGAUAGCUUCAAAGUGAAGUAGAGUUCGUCUCCGGCGGUUAUCGCUGCCCGAAUUCAUGCACCGUGAACCGUUUACACGCCGUUGACUCCACUAAGUAUCCGCUGGGCAGUUAGCGUUAACGUUCUCCUGGUUAGAGGAGGAUCAAGAAGAAGAAGAGGAGGAAGACGAGGAAGCAGAUGAAUAAGAAGAAGACAAGAAAGGGCCUCAAGGAGCAGAAACUGGACAAGGUAGAACGAGAUAGUUUGGGGCUAACUCGAAGAAUAGGAAUUGGCUAAUCGGUGGGGUAGCAGCCAGUACCCGUAUACACGUAGGUACACGCAGGCGUCCCUGGCAGGAGUCCCGAAGAGAGAGGAGCAGAAGGAGACUAUGAAAUAAGUAGCCAGGAGCAGGAGCGCAGGCUGUUAGAUGAGGCCGGUCAACGUGGGUGGUCCAGCAGAGAUUUGCCUUCCGCUAAAUAUCUCCUUUGCGCCCUCGACGUGGGUGGCCCCGGUACCCGUGGGUAUUUCAUCCUCCUCGCGCACAGUCCUCCACCCGUGAGUCUGUCUCCGGCCAUGAUUCCCAACGUAGGAACUACACUGUAUAAAGUAAUGCGCCGUUCCACGUUUCCAGCUCUGGUUCGAAGGGUAGAAGAAGGAAGAGAAGGCGAGGCUGACGCGACUCGACGCGUGUGGUCCUCCCGUGGUACGACGACAACGACAGCAUCUUAUCCGAGCCUCCCGGAUCGCUCGAUCGAUCAAUGGAGACUCGAUAAAGUACGGCAUGCACGGGCGCACAAGUAUUUUUCACCUUCAAGCCCGUGGCAGACAGUCACGGACUCGAAGAAUUCAAUGACUACACACUGGCUACGGAUUCCGGUUAUCAUUGAAUGCGGUAAAAUUGAAUAGGAACGAGUAACUGGCGCGUGUUUCGACAGUAUGGAUAUCCUUCUUGAUUAUCUACCAUACUUCUUCCUUUCAUCGUGGGAUAAUUAUUAUUACUUGAAAAUUAUUGAGCACACAAAGGGCUCGCCAUCGCGACUUCAUCAGCUCUGACACAUCUUGGAGGACUGAAGCGUUCGACCACGGCAAAUGCAAUAAACAUGGGAUUCCUGUCGAGCUUCUUUUCGCUUCGCUGCCUGGCUACGCUUCCUGGUAGCUGAUGUGGCUCAUGUCGGCCUCCCUAACGAAGCCACCAACGGGAACUGCUGCACUUGGGUAUACAGUGAUCUGUGAUGCUCCGAACAAAGAAAUAGUUUUGUUUAUGGUCACUUUGGCCUGGCCCCUCUCUUGCUAUGAUUCAGAUGUACGCCUUUUCAUAGCCACUCACGUGUACCUAUGUACUACCUAUUGGACCUUCUUUUUUCUCGUGUCAUAGGGUUCUGGGAACCCCGUGGAUAUCUAAACGGUGGCCACCCACGUGCCGUUACCUUGCUUCAAACUUCUAACGAGAGUUACUUCGAGUAAUCUUAAACCAUUAUAAUCUCCAGACGCUAUACUCCGUUUCCGCGGGAAUCGCUUACCCAACAGAAAAUUACUUAUUUAGUCUAAGAUUUAUAAGUAACGGGAAUUCACUGAGAGUGCAGAAAAAGUUACACAGACAAACAAAAUUGAUGCUCGUGCCAUAACGGGAAUAAUAUUUAUCAUAUAGACUAAUAUUAUAUUUCUUAAUUAACUACAUUUAUAUUCAGGCUAAUCUUAUCUGCUACGAUAGUCACGGUAUUAAAUGCUUCACUGUAUUGUCGCACCACUUUCGUAGCGUCCAUAUUCUUUGCUGGCCUCUCGUGAUCUUUUGCAUAUUUAUAAUUUAUCUUUAUAUUACAUAUAAAAGCCAGUGACAUCAAUAUUAAUUACAUUUAGAUUCAAAAUAGAUUCUAAGAUCCUUCCAUCCUUUUUUCUCACGUACUGCGUUCGAUUAAAAAUUCUUCAAUAUUUAAAUCUACUUGAAUUUUGCAAUUUUGAUUUCUAAUAGCGAGGAGUCCCCUCAUCUAUUUAUAUCCUCCAAAUGCAACCAUGUAUCAUAACGUAACCACAAGUUUUGCAGGCUAUAGCUAAUGUAGGUAUCCUUACGGUAACUAUCGGUAAAACAGAAUCUUACAACUUGAAAGUAACAUUGUCAAAUUGAUUAUAUCGACUUAAUCCAAUCCGUUAACACAAUUAUUUAACAUUUCCGUAAUCGACUCCGCCAUAAAACUCAUUUACAAUAAUAAAGAUUCUCAUUAAAGUUGUAAUCGUAGCAAUAAGUUUUAUUUUAUUUAAGGAAAAAAACUUACCGACCUAUCCGAUCGGACGCCACUCAUUCAACACACUGGAGUUUGGAUGAAGGUACAGACAGAUGGGAUAUACUCGACUGCUCAUACAGAUAUCAUGGAACGAUAAGCUAUACAUUUGACAGAAGUAACGAUCUUAGUACCAUUAUAUUUAUCGAUGUUAAUUAUUCGGAUUAUUAUAUCAGUACGACGCAAUUCUCAUGAAGAUGCCGACUUAAUGCAAUACCACUUUGCACUUAAUACUAAUUACCGUCAUUUUUAAAAGCUGGUUUGCGGUGUUCCUAUCGAAGUGAGUGGUUCUUAUAAACAUGAUAUGAUAUUCUUGUAGAACAUUGUAAAAAAGGUUUGCGCAAAAUUCUAUAUAUAAUUACGUAGAAAUACGAUAAGUCAUUAGUCGAUAUUAUUAUUUUCCAUGACGUCGACGCAAAGGCAAAGUCAUAUACAUAUGUAAAUAUGCUACUUCUAUACUUUGUCUUAAUUUCUUUUAUUUUAUAUACGCAUUUAUACAUCGACUUGAAUGAUACAUUUAUUGAUAAACCUA